rnacentral:piRNA from 1 species
UGCAAGGUAUAGAAACCUGUACAUAUCGGC